GAACAGACAGCUCAGUGGUUGAUAAAAUGCCUGUCCGAUGAUUUUGUAGGGCAGAUUCAGGUCUUUUAACCCUCAGAUGAGGUCACUUAAAUGUCUAGCUUCCUGAUUGUGCCUACAGCUUACAGUCCAAGGAGACCAAUGCCAAGCCCUUUGUCUACUGUUUAAUUCAGCAGAAAUCUUGGCAGUGUAUCUAGAAAUGAAGGAGGUGUGUGGGGGCUGGAACUUCCACUUGGAGAAGAAGAGAGCUGUAAAACUGAAGCAUUGGACAUAAAUGUAUACUUUUCCUCCAUAAACUUGCUUAAUUCUAUGUUAGGCAGUGGGAAUUUCAUUUACAGUGUGCAGGAGCAUGACCCUUGGUAUGAACUGGAUCAGAAAGAAUAUACUCACUUCCUGUGUACACAAUCUGCACAGCCUGCAAGUAGACCUGAGAAGAUCGUUCACUGGAGCGUGGUCAGGUAUUGCCACUUAAAGCCUCAACUAUUGAACAAAGUGGAGAGUAAGAAAACCUAGUUUCUGCCUCCUUGGACAGAAGCACUGCAGCCCUUGUCCUUGCGGGUGCGAGAUGAGGAUCUAGGGACACCCAGUUGCUCUCACAGAUGGGGGCUCCCAAUAAUCAAGUGAUGCAGCAAUGCUAAAGGACCAGUUAUCCAGGGUGCAUCCCUGACAAUGUUACAAAGGGAAAAAACAAGAUGCCUAAGAUUGGAACAUGACUCCAAAGUUUCGAUGCUGCCAGACUUCAGGCUUUCUGAAAUAAGAAUCUUGCAUAAUGUUCUGAAAGUGAACCAAUCUGAAUUACCAGAGGGAACGAAUUUCACUUCUAGGGACCAUCUCCCGAGACCGCCCACCCUCCCUCAUGAGUGCACAUUUAAAGGCUGUCAGCAAAAGCACCUCGGCUGAUCUGUAGGAUGGUGCACAUCAUCAGUAGAAAUUAGUCUAGAGGGACUUUUAUUCCCACUUCAAUUUAAAACACAAAACGCUCAAAACAAAGAGGAUGAAGUGUUUAGUGAUCAUCUUUUCUGCUUCUCAGUGGAGGUAUGUUGCACAUUGUGUCAUGCCUCUUGGCUCCUUACUGAUUAACUUAUUCCCAACUUCAUCUGAAUGAGCUGGAGGGAGGGAAAGGAAUGAGUCACAAGUAAUUUUUGCAUAGGCAGGAACCCAGAUCAGCAUCUAACCUAAUACAGGGCUCUUUGUUAUCUAAAAUGGUUAGAAAAUGGAAGUGUAAUCUUGGGAGCAGAGAAAAUUAGGCAUGGGGAGAGAAUGGGAAAGAUCAGCUGGCUGGAGGCAGCCGCCGGGAGCUGAUUGCAAAACUGAUAGAGGAAUGAUGGUCAAGAACAGUAGCCUAUCCUCAGAACACUGGGGUUCAACUCCUAGCUCUGCCUAGACUUCAUGUGUGACUUUGGGCAAGUCACUUAAUCUGUUCCUCAGAUACUCUGUAGGAAUGUUUCCCUACCUAGUGUGAUAAAAUACAUUAAAGAUUGGGAUGCACUUUGAUACUAUGGUAAUAGUUAUAAGCCAGGGUAGGAGUUGUAUGGGCCCUUGGUGCCCGGGCUCCAGCAAUAUUCAGGG